rnacentral:misc_RNA from 1 species
AAAGUCGUAACAAGGUUUCCGUAGGUGAACCUGCGGAAGGAUCAUUAACACGAACAACUAUUAUCCACUAUUCAAACCAAACGUGAACUUUUCCCCUCCCUAGUGCUUUAUUGCAUUAGGCUAAACUGUUUAACCUAUAUAACACCCCAUACAAACAAACAAACCGAUGGUCUUGAUUUAAAAACUCAUUACCACUUCAUACAUCCGAACAUGACUAGUCCUAGUUGACUCGGUCUGUUCUGUUCUAAUCUAGAACUGAAAAGAGAAAUACAACUCUUAACAAUGGAUAUCUUGGUUCUC